rnacentral:rRNA from 1 species
CAGAAGGGGAUAACACUUGGAAACAGGUGCUAAUACCGUAUAACACUAUUUUCCGCAUGGAAGAAAGUUGAAAGGCGCUUUUGCGCCACUGAUGGAUGGACCCGCGGUGCAUUAGCUAGUUGGUGAGGUAACGGCUCACCAGGGCCACGAUGCAUAGCCGACCUGAGAGGGUGAUCGGCCACACUGGGACUGAGACACGGCCCAGACUCCUACGGGAGGCAGCAGUAGGGAAUCUUCGGCAAUGGACGAAAGUCUGACCGAGCAACGCCGCGUGAGUGAAGAAGGUUUUCGGAUCGUAAAACUCUGUUGUUAGAGAAGAACAAGGAUGAGAGUAAAACGUUCAUCCCUUGACGGUAUCUAACCAGAAAGCCACGGCUAACUACGUGCCAGCAGCCGCGGUAAUACGUAGGUGGCAAGCGUUGUCCGGAUUUAUUGGGCGUAAAGCGAGCGCAGGCGGUUUCUUAAGUCUGAUGUGAAAGCCCCCGGCUCAACCGGGGAGGGUCAUUGGAAACUGGGAGACUUGAGUGCAGAAGAGGAGAGUGGAAUUCCAUGUGUAGCGGUGAAAUGCGUAGAUAUAUGGAGGAACACCAGUGGCGAAGGCGGCUCUCUGGUCUGUAACUGACGCUGAGGCUCGAAAGCGUGGGGAGCGAACAGGAUUAGAUACCCUGGUAGUCCACGCCGUAAACGAUGAGUGCUAAGUGUUGGAGGGUUUCCGCCCUUCAGUGCUGCAG